AUAUCAAUAAGCGGAGGAAAAGAAACUAACAAGGAUUCCCCUAGUAGCGGCGAGUGAAGCGGGAAGAGCUCAAAUUUGUAAUCUGGCGUCUUUCAGGCGUCCGAGUUGUAAUCUAUAGAAGUGUUUUCCGUGCUGGACCAUGUCCAAGUCCCUUGGAACAGGGUAUCAAAGAGGGUGACAAUCCCGUACUUGACAUGACCACCAGUGCUCUGUGAUACACUUUCUACGAGUCGAGUUGUUUGGGAAUGCAGCUCAAAAUGGGUGGUAAAUUCCAUCUAAAGCUAAAUAUUGGCGAGAGACCGAUAGCGAACAAGUACCGUGAGGGAAAGAUGAAAAGCACUUUGGAAAGAGAGUUAAACAGUACGUGAAAUUGUUGAAAGGGAAACGAUUGAAGUCAGUCGUGUUCAUUGGACUCAGCCGGUUUUCGGUGUAUUUCCUUUGAACGGGUCAACAUCAGUUUUGUCCGGUGGAUAAAGGCAGGAAGAAAGUGGCUCCCUCGGGAGUGUUAUAGCUUUCUGUCACAUACACUGGAGGAGACUGAGGACUGCAGCUCGCCUUUUGGCCGGGGUUCGCCCACGUUCGAGCUUAGGAUGUUGACAUAAUGGCUU
rnacentral:rRNA from 1 species